rnacentral:rRNA from 1 species
AUUGAACGCUGGCGGCAUGCCUUACACAUGCAAGUCGAACGGCAGCACGGGAGCAAUCCUGGUGGCGAGUGGCGAACGGGUGAGUAAUAUAUCGGAACGUGCCCAGUCGUGGGGAUAACGUAGCGAAAGCUACGCUAAUACCGCAUACGAUCUAUGGAUGAAAGCGGGGGGUCGCAAGACCUCGCGCGAUUGGAGCGGCCGAUAUCAGAUUAGGUAGUUGGUGAGGUAAAGGCUCACCAAGCCGACGAUCUGUAGCUGGUCUGAGAGGACGACCAGCCACACUGGGACUGAGACACGGCCCAGACUCCUACGGGAGGCAGCAGUGGGGAAUUUUGGACAAUGGGCGCAAGCCUGAUCCAGCAAUGCCGCGU